GCACCAUUCUCUUGAUUCAAGAGUCUUUCUCUCCUUAUCCCCCGAGCAUUUCGGUCCCUCGUGAUUCGACUUCUCUUUCUGUAGUUUUAGUAUAGUAAGGUGAGCGCUGAAGCGCUGCACGAAUCUUUCUUAGAAAGAUUCAGCGACGAAGUUCUGCCCCUGCAGAGCCCGACUCCUAGCUAAAAUCCCCUUGAAAGUUUCGUCAAAGGAAAUUAUUUUAAAGUAAACGAAGCGCUGUCCGAGUACCGAGUCACCACCUUCUCAGGUGUUGAUAUGAAGUCACAAUACACUGAGAGAUUUAAAGAGAUGUAGAUCACUAGUGUAAAUAAUUGUAAGUUCUGUUUAUGCUUAUGUUUCUGUAUUAACGAUGACAUCCCAAACGUUUUAAAAUGAAAUAAAUACGUUUCAUCGAAAAUGUUUUAAUAACGUAUUUACCAUGUUUUUCUGGGAACAAAUUCCGCAACAUUUUUAUAAAAUGAAGUACUCUGAUUUUUAUAAAGCAUAAACAAAAUCGGUCUUUUCUGGCCGUGAAAAUGGGGA